rnacentral:tRNA from 1 species
AGGCCACCUGGCUCGUCGGUGAGCUCGGCCGGUUCGUGCGGCCGGCCGAUGAUCUCGGGGCGUUGCCCGCGCCGUUCGACAACGCCGCUCGCUUCC